UAGGGUCGUUCAUUACAACUAUGGCCGACACUGAGCUGCAUCGUGUCCGUGUCGUUUGUCAUAUUUCCUCUUUUACAGGGGCGUAACAUUUGGAGGCACCGCUGGGAUCGUGUGCAGCGUGGUUUAGCGUCUUCAACAGAUGUCCCCCGCCGUCACACAUCCCCUUUAAACAACCCGGAACAUCAGAAGCAGGUGGCGAAUCAGCGAUAGUGGGAGUCCGAUUGUCUGGGGCAGCUUGCAUGUGAUCUGAGGUAUUUCUGCAUACCAGGAGAGCUGCUAUUACUACCCGAAGAUUAAAAGGUACCACUUCACUGCUAGCACCUACAUCUGGCUGGGAAGAUGGAGUCGACCGGAUUAGAGGAGUUACAGCUUGAAGUAAUAAGGGCAUUGUGUCUGUUGCCCCGAGAGAGUUUGGUGGAGCUGUGUGACUAUCUAAUCAUUGCCGGAGCAGAGUUUGAGCAUGUUACCAACAAGGGCCGAACUGCUCUCAUCACACUAAUUUCAAACCACAUACAGAGAGUAGAGCUAGAAGAGCUCGAGGAUGAAGGUAUGGCUGGCUUACUCCAUCUUCAAGACAAAAUUUCUGAGCUCCAGAUAGCUGGUAAAGCUGGCCCAUCAAAACCAGUAGGUGAGCAACAGGAUGGAGAGGAGAAAAGAAUAUUGGAGGAAAUUGAGGCCUUGCAGCUUCAGUUAGCAAGCACACAGAAACAGAGUGAGGAAAACAAGCCAGAAAUGAAAGGAAUUAAAAGCAUUACCCCCACCAGACAAUCACCACAGAGUGUAGUCCACAGUCCUGCACCUCACCCAUGGCAAAAGGAUUUUAAGAUUGCUGGCCAAAUCGGUGAGCCCGGUCAGAGAGACAAGCUGACUUUUUCGAGCCUAGCACGUCAAAUUGAACAUGGCUUAAGCAAGGGGUUUCUGGAACUCGAGAUAGCAGAUGCAGUGAUAAGAGCGAUAUCUCCAGGCAUGCAACUCCGCAGCUAUUUAGAGGGCAAAACCAACCUAACCUUACCCAUGCUGAGGCGAAUACUCCGAAGUCAUUAUCAAGAGAAAAGUGCAACCGACCUUUAUAAGCAGCUGACCUCAGAGGUGCAGGGCAUCAAAGAAACCCCACAGAACUUCCUAAUUCGCACUUUCGACCUGAGACAAAAAAUUUUGUUCGCU
ensembl:lncRNA